AGGAUCUGCAGAAGAGAAGAAUACAUACUGGGAGGAGCUGAAAUAGGAAGAAAUAAAGAAAAAAAAAUGAGCUCAUUACUGCAAUGCUUCUGACUUAAGGUGUGAUUUAAUUUCCCAUUUAAUUUUCUCUGUGCAGUGUUGCUCCUUAUGUGUUUUAUAUGAAUAACUUAGCACAUCUCUUCAAAUCUUAUGAGUUCAAAUUUGAAGGCAAAAUUCAUUAAGAUCUCAUUGGAGAAAUAAUAGUUGGAACUUUGUGGAACCCUUCUAAGUGACACCUGCACAAUAUUUUGGCUUCUCC
rnacentral:lncRNA from 1 species